UUCAACGAGUCGCUGAAUAACUUCUUCGCCUCCUUCGUUGUUCUUUUGUUGGAUCGGAAGUAACGAUGACGACGGUUGCUUGCUCGUUGCGAAGGUGGCUAUCUGUCUUCCUUUCGCGCGCCUCUUCGGCCAAACCCCGUAAAUAGGCCGAACUCCCCGACUUCUUAAAUUCGGGAUUUACGGCAAAAAGAGGGAAACGGAGGUUUUAACUCGUCGUAAGAUUUAACUGUUCACUAAAUCCUUUUUGGCAGGGUUUAACAUAAAUCCUGCUCAAAUCCUGUAUACAAACAGCCCCUUAGAAGCGAGUCUUUGUUGUCACGUGGGUAUGGAAAAUUGUUAUUGGAAGAAACUAGGGAUACAAUGCGCCAAAGUGAUGCUGGGUGGCGCUCGCGUGAAGGAGAACCAUUUUCUUUUAUUUUGUGCUCUCGGGACGGGCUCGGACUAGGAUGCGGGAUGGUGGGGUGGAUGCGGAAGCGGGCUCAGACGCGGAAUCAAGGACAGAUGCGGAACGAGCUGGCUCGGAUGCAGAAUUGAGCCGCUCAACAAGCUCAAGCUCGUUUGAGUUCGAACUCGGAAUUUGGCUCUUGAGUCGAGCUCGAGUUAGGCCUGACUCUCCUAUAACGCAUCAAUUACCAUUUAUUAUUUAUAAAGGUGCAGCUGUAGAUUUGUGGCGGGAAAAGGCAUGUCUCUCUGCUUAGUUGUGCUGAGCUCCCAAUUAGUGGGUAUAAAUUUCUAUAUUUACUUACCAACAUUCGCUGUUGUGGAUCUUACCAUAGAAAAUCAAGAAAUAAAGAAAAUAUUUUUCUUUUUCAAAUCAAUAAGCUUCACGUUUUAUAUUUUA